GCAGCAGGCGCGCAAAUUACCCACUCCCGGCACGGGGAGGUAGUGACGAAAAAUAACGAUACGGGACUCAUCCGAGGCCCCGUAAUCGGAAUGAGUAUACUCUAAAUCCUUAUACGAGUAUCAAUUGGAGGGCAAGUCUGGUGCCAGCAGCCGCGGUAAUUCCAGCUCCAAUAGCGUAUAUUAAAGUUGUUGCGGUUAAAAAGCUCGUAGUUGGAUCUGUGUCCCGCACCGUCGGUUCACCGCCUGUCGGUGUUCAACUGGCGUGUAUGUGGGACGUCCUGCCGGUGGCGGUCCGGUUCCCAGGAGGUACGUAGGGGUCGUCCUUGCUUCGCUUGCGUCGUCCCCGAAGGCCUUCUUGGUGUUUCCGGCCGCCUUUUCGAUCCCGUCGCGGUGCUCUUUACCGAGUGUCGAGGCGGGCCGGCACGUUUACUUUGAACAAAUUAGAGUGCUUUAAGCAGGCCCUGUCCCGCCUGUAUGUUGUGUGCAUGGAAUAAUGGAAUAGGACCUCGGUUCUAUUUUGUUGGUUUUCGGAAUCUGAGGUAAUGAUCAAUGGGGACAGGCGGGGGCAUUCGUAUUGCGACGUUAGAGGUGAAAUUCUUGGAUCGUCGCAAGACGGACCGAAGCGAAAGCAUUUGCCAAGUAUGUUCUCGUCGAUCAAGAACGAAAGUUAGAGGUUCGAAGGCGAUCAGAUACCGCCCUAGUUCUAACCAUAAACUAUGCCUGCCAGCGAUCCGCCGAAGUUCCUCCGAUGACUCGGCGGGCAGCUUCCGGGAAACCAGAGCUUUUGGGUUCCGGGGGAAGUAUGGUUGCAAAGCUGAAACUUAAAGGAAUUGACGGAAGGGCACCACCAGGAGUGGAGCCUGCGGCUUAAUUUGACUCAACACGGGAAAACUCACCAGGCCCGGACACCGGAAGGAUUGACAGAUUGAGAGCUCUUUCUUGAUUCGGUGGGUGGUGGUGCAUGGCCGUUCUUAGUUGGUGGAGCGAUUUGUCUGGUUAAUUCCGAUAACGAACGAGACUCUAGCCUACUAACUAGGCGUACCCGGUAUCCACAAUCGUGCUACCGGCGAUCAAAUUUCUUCUUAGAGGGACAGGCGGCUUCUAGCCGCACGAGACUGAGCAAUAACAGGUCUGUGAUGCCCUUAGAUGUCCUGGGCCGCACGCGCGCUACACUGAAGGAAUCAGCGUGUCUUCCCUGUCCGAAAGGACCGGGUAACCCGCUGAACCUCCUUUGUGCUAGGGAUUGGGGCUUGCAAUUGUUCCCCAUGAACGAGGAAUUCCCAGUAAGCGCGAGUCAUAAGCUCGCGUUGAUUACGUCCCUGCCCUUUGUACACACCGCCCGUCGCUACUACCGAUUGAAUGAUUUAGUGAGGUCUUCGGACUGGUGCGCGGAGGCCGCCCUGCGGUCUCCGAUGUUGCUGGAAAGAUGACCAAACUUGAUCAUUUAGAGGAAGUAAAAGUCGUAACAAGGUUUCCGUAGGUGAACCU
rnacentral:rRNA from 1 species